AGCUGUGAGUGCUUGGUCCAAGCUGGGCAAGUUGGCACUUUUAACUUCUUUUAUGAAAGCUUGAUGCGGGCCCCCUAGCCUUCUGUUAGAACGGUGGGAAACAUUGCGUUCCUGUGAGAAACGUGUAGUGGACUCCACCGCCACUGACCAAUAUUUAUUAGGGUGUGACGUGAACUUGUGGACAGAGUACCGAGCUGCUGCUUUGCCGGGUGGAUUUCUGGCUGUGGGCAAAGGACCCGACACAUCACUGUAUUUUAAUUUGUUUUAACCUGGUGUGACUCAACAGAUUGUGGCAGCUGUUGAGUUUGUUUGCCUUAUUUGUUUUAUUUUUUAUUUUAUUAUAUUGUUGUGUAUCAGUAGACACCGCAGAUAUUGAUUGUCUUUUAGUGUUUUACCUUUUUUUUUUCUUUUUCUUUU